AACGAACGCUGGCGGCAUGCCUAACACAUGCAAGUCGAACGAGACCUUCGGGUCUAGUGGCGCACGGGUGCGUAACGCGUGGGAACCUGCCCUUAGGUUCGGAAUAACUCCCCGAAAGGGGUGCUAAUACCGGAUAAUGUCUUCGGACCAAAGAUUUAUCGCCUUUGGAUGGGCCCGCGUUGGAUUAGCUAGUUGGUAGGGUAAAAGCCUACCAAGGCGACGAUCCAUAGCUGGUCUGAGAGGAUGAUCAGCCACACUGGGACUGAGACACGGCCCAGACUCCUACGGGAGGCAGCAGUGGGGAAUAUUGGACAAUGGGCGAAAGCCUGAUCCAGCCAUGCCGCGUGAGUGAUGAAGGCCUUAGGGUUGUAAAGCUCUUUUACCCGGGAUGAUAAUGACAGUACCGGGAGAAUAAGCUCCGGCUAACUACGUG
rnacentral:rRNA from 1 species